rnacentral:rRNA from 1 species
AGUGAACGCUGGCGGUAGGCCUAACACAUGCAAGUCGAACGGCAGCACAGUAAGAGCUUGCUCUUACGGGUGGCGAGUGGCGGACGGGUGAGGAAUACAUCGGAAUCUACUUUUUCGUGGGGGAUAACGUAGGGAAACUUACGCUAAUACCGCAUACGACCUACGGGUGAAAGCAGGGGAUCUUCGGACCUUGCGCGAUUGAAUGAGCCGAUGUCGGAUUAGCUAGUUGGCGGGGUAAAGGCCCACCAAGGCGGCGAUCCGUAGCUGGUCUGAGAGGAUGAUCAGCGACACUGGAACUGAGACACGGUCCAGACUCCUACGGUAGGCAGCAGUGGGGAAUAGUGGACAAUGGGCGCAAGCCUGAUCCAGCCAUACCGCGUGGGUGAAGAAGGCCUUCGGGUUGUAAAGCCCUUUUGUUGGGAAAGAAAAGCAGCAGGUUAAUACCCCGCUGUUCUGACGGUACCCAAAGAAUAAGCACCGGCUAACUUCGCG